rnacentral:rRNA from 1 species
CAAUAGCGUAUAUUAAAGUUGUUGCGGUUAAAAAGCUCGUAGUUGGAUUUCUGCUGAGAACGACCGGUCCGCCCUUUGGGUGUGUAUCUGGCUCUUUCUUGGCAUCUUCUUGGUGAACGUUGCUGCACUUGACUGUGUGGAGCGCUACCCAGGACUUUUACUUUGAGGAAAUUAGAGUGUUCCAAGCAGGCAUACGCCUUGAAUACAUUAGCAUGGAAUAAUAAGAUAGGACCUCGGUUCUAUUUUGUUGGUUUCUAGAGCUGAGGUAAUGAUUAAUAGGGAUAGUUGGGGGCAUUCGUAUUUAACUGUCAGAGGUGAAAUCCUUGGAUUUGUUAAAGACGGACUACUGCGAAAACAUUUGCCAAGGAUGUUUUCAUUGA